UACGUAGGCAGGCAAGCGUUGUUCGGAAUUACUGGGCGUAAAGAGUGUGUAGGCGGUGUUCUAAGUCUGUUGUCGAAAUCUCCCGGCUUAACUGGGAGGGUGCGGCGGAAACUGGAAUGCUAGAGGAUGGGAGAGGUAAGGCGGAAUUCCUGGUGUAGCGGUGAAAUGCGUAGAUAUCAGGAGGAACACCUGUGGUGUAGACAGCUUACUGGACCAUUCUGACG
rnacentral:rRNA from 1 species